AGGUGUUCUGUUCUAAUGAUUGAAAACGGUCGUACCUAUAUUCGUUCAUCUUUAUGGAAUAUUCCUAGCGAUUUGGGGGGCUAGAUAAGAGUUUUGGCUAAGGUAGGUACGUGUUACUCUCAGAUUAAAUCUUUUUAGAACCAAAUAUCAUAGCUGAUUUGGCUACAUUUGUAAGUUAAACUUAAAUCUUCACUUAUAUGAUUUAUAACAACAACACUAAUGGUUCGAAUAUCGUCGUAAUAAUUAUAAUGAUUAAGUAUUUCUAAAUAGGCCAUUCUUAAUACAUUUGCUUGGUUUGUUGAUGAACAGUUAUCGAUCCAAACUGAAAAUAGAAAAAUGCUGUAAUGAUGU
rnacentral:sRNA from 1 species